rnacentral:tRNA from 1 species
GGGGGUAUGACGUAAUCGGUAGCCGUAACUGACUUAAAAUCAGUUGUCCAUAGGACGUCCCGGUUCAAAUCCGGGUACCCCCACCA